UAUCAUCAUAUCACAUGCUAGACUCUACUUUUAAAAAUCAGUAUAAUUGAAGUAAAAUCAUAUAAAUAAAAUGUACCCAUUUUAAUGUACAAUUUGAUUACUAUAAAAUGUUUGUGUUUUUUGAAGGCAAUAUUUUUUAAUUUUUAAUUUUAUUUAUUUAUUUAUUUUUUGUUUUUCGAGACAGGGUUUCUCUGUGUAGCCCUGGCUGUCCUGGAACUCACUCUGUAGAUCAGGCUGGCCUCGAACUCAGAAAUCCACCUGUCUUUGCCUCCCAAGUGCUGGGAUUAAAGGCAUGUGCCACUACUGCCAACCUCAAUGGCAAUAUUCUUACCCCUUGACAAUGAGCAGUGCUGAUUCAUUAUUUAUUUUUCCUUAUUGUUUGUCAUUUCAUUUUAAUCAAAUGUUAUUUGGUUAAAACUAUACACUCUUUUCCAUCUUAUUUUUGGAUCUGGAAGCCACCACUGGUAUGAUGCAUUUGUCAUUUCCCAUUAUGAUUUGUUCCUCUUUGUUUUUCAGUAGUAAUCAGUUGUCUAGUCAUGGACUGACAUGGACUGAUUGGUUUACCAAUUGAUGAACAUGGGUUGCUUCUAGUUUAUGGUUGUUUUGCAUGAAGUUACCAAUCAUAUUGCUAUGGUCUUUUUUGGAACAUUAUUUUCUCUUUGGUGAGUCUAAGCUUGAAUUCAGAGUUAAUUUCUUCUCUUCAUAUUUAGCAUCCUUCCGUUUUCUUACCACUCAAUCAAUGACUAUUUCCUACCAAAAUUUUUGCACAAGAAUGGGGCAUGGGCCACUUCAAUACAUAAUCCUGUAAUUUUUUAAACCUCUGUUGUUGGCUUUUGUUCAUAAAACUCUCCAUAGAAUCUUUCAAGCUGAUCAUUUACAUGCUUCUGAGCUCUUAACACAAACACACACACACACACACACACACACACACACACACACACACACACGGGUGGGGGGGAGGAAUUGUGAUUGGAUUUAGUGAACUUGGAAUCUUUUCCUGUUUUUCCCACAAUACAGAAGUCAAAACAUUCAAAACUACACACAUAGUCUUGCUAUGCUAUGAUUAGUAAAAAUGGAAAAUACAUUUUUUAUUUAUUAUUCUACCUCUUACAAAGUAGAAAAAUAUAAAGUCCCAGUAAAGCACUUGGCUCCACCAUGACAGAGUGAAAGAAUGAAAGAAAUUCCCUUAGAAUAUGAUUUCAUCUCGCUCAACACAUGAUGCUCGGCUGGCAGAAAAGAAAACUCCAAAAGUUUAGUAAUUUUUUUUAUGCUUGUCUUGCUCUGUUUUGUAAUUUUGAGCUUUACAUUGUCAAUCAUCUUUCAAUUAAAUAACCUUCCAGAAGACAGGGAUUAUGCCUGAAUUACCUUUCCCAUAAAGUAUCACAUGAAUGUUGUGCAACCAGGUGUUGCAAAUAAUUUUGAAUAAAUAUAAGUAAUUUAAUUAAUAUAUUUCAACAUUUUAAAUGUAUAUGUAGUUUAAAUACUAAAGACCUGAAAUUUGUUGUACUGAAAAUAUUUUUAAACUUAAGACAAAUAAGUAUUAUUAAUUAAGUAGAUAAGUAUUUUCUCUCUACUAACAAUGCUUUUAUUAUUUUUAGAGCAUAAAGAGUCUUAAAAGAAUAAGAAUUGUUUAUAUUCACUAUAAAUUACCUUCAGAGUUAGGCUUUGAGAUAUUGGCCUUACUAUGUUGUUCUGACUAUAUACUUACUAAGUAUGUCUUUUAUGUUAUUAUUAAAUGAAUGCAUCCAAGGACAGUAAAUAUAAUUAAUCAUAAACUUUGAGUAAAUAAUGAAACUUAGUGCCAUUAUCUACAUACGGUAUAUAAAACCAAAGAUCUUUAAACAUGACAGUAAUCUUGAACCUCAUUCCUAUUAGAAUGUACUGCAUAGGCCCUGGAGGCUAUGUGUUUGCAAAAAGGUAUCUGAUUAACUUUUUGAUUUUUUUCAAUUCAGCGGGGAAGCAGUUACUUAUCAAGAAUGAUUAUAAUUCUGUUUUUAUGAAGAUUCUGCUGGUGUUUUUAUUUUUAGCCCAUAUUUAUAAUAAAAUUGGUGCAAUAAAUGUUUUAUUAGACAGAGAAAUUGAAUACUUCUAAUUGUAGGAGUUUUAUAUAAAUAUUGGUUUAUUAAAGAGUAUUUUUAAAUGGUUGCUAAAUUGGGAUAAUGUUUCCAGGAGUACCCGAGGAAACAUCUAAAAAUAAUUUCACUUCAGAAAGCAGAAAAGCAUAACAAGAAGGUGGCAGAUGGCUCUUAAGCAUUGACUGCUAGAGUCUCAGAGGAUAAACCUGGGUAGUUGGAGAGCUGUUAUGUUAUAAGGUUUGUCUUAUUCUGUUAUCCUCUCUUCUUCCUUCCUUUCCCUUGCUCUUCUUCCUUUAGAGACUUUUACCAAAGAGUACAAGUUGUUGUUAGGCUGUGGUGGUGAUAGGGUGGACUUCUGCAUACCUCAGCCUCUGGAGUGCUUGAGUUGUUUUAGAUUGUCUAGUUGCAUGUCUUUCUUUUCUUUUUUUCCCCAACAUAAUAUUUUUUAUUGAAUAUUUCAAAAUUUUACAUAAUGCACGCUGAUCACACUCACUUCCCAGUCCUUCCAGUUCUGUCCCCCAACCCUGUGGCCCCACCCC
rnacentral:lncRNA from 1 species